CCUACGGGAGGCAGCAGUGAGGAAUAUUGGACAAUGGAGGCAACUCUGAUCCAGCCAUGCCGCGUGCAGGAAGACGGCCCUAUGGGUUGUAAACUGCUUUUAUAGGGGAAGAAACCCACGCUUGUGAGCGUGGCUGACGGUACCCUAAGAAUAAGCACCGGCUAACUCCGUGCCAGCAGCCGCGGUAAU
rnacentral:rRNA from 1 species